UUGAAGAGUUGCACUUUCUAGAAUGUUCCA
rnacentral:piRNA from 1 species